CGGACCGGCGCACGGGUGCGUAACGCGUAUGCAACCUACCUUUAACAGGGGGAUAACACUGAGAAAUUGGUACUAAUACCCCAUAAUAUCAUAGAAGGCAUCUUUUAUGGUUGAAAAUUCCGAUGGUUAGAGAUGGGCAUGCGUUGUAUUAGCUAGUUGGUGAGGUAACGGCUCACCAAGGCGACGAUACAUAGGGGGACUGAGAGGUUAACCCCCCACACUGGUACUGAGACACGGACCAG
rnacentral:rRNA from 1 species